rnacentral:rRNA from 1 species
UACGGAGGGUGCGAGCGUUGUCCGGAAUCACUGGGCGUAAAGGGCGCGUAGGCGGUCUGUUAAGCGUGUGGUGAAAGCUCGGGGCUCAACCCCGAGUCUGCCAUGCGAACUGGUGGACUUGAGCACUGUAGAGGCAGGUGGAAUUCCGGGUGUAGCGGUGGAAUGCGUAGAGAUCCGGAAGAACACCGGUGGCGAAGGCGGCCUGCUGGGCAGUUGCUGACACUGAGGCGCGACAGCGUGGGGAGCAAACAGG